UACGGGGGGGGGCAAGCGUUGUUCGGAAUUACUGGGCGUAAAGGGUUCGUAGGUGGCCCGCUAAGUCAGACGUGAAAUCCCUCAGCUCAACUGGGGAACUGCGUCUGAGACUGGCAGGCUUGAGUGCAGGAGAGGAACGCGGAAUUCCAGGUGUAGCGGUGAAAUGCGUAGAUAUCUGGAGGGACACCGGUGGCGAAGGCAGCCUCCUGGGCCAAUACUGACGCUCAUGCACGAAAGCGUGGGGAGCAAACAGG
rnacentral:rRNA from 1 species